rnacentral:rRNA from 1 species
UACGUAGGGUGCGAGCGUUGUCCGGAAUUACUGGGCGUAAAGAGCUCGUAGGUGGUUUGUCGCGUUGUCCGUGAAAACUCACAACUCAAUUGUGGGCGUGCGGGCGAUACGGGCAGACUGGAGUACUGCAGGGGAGACUGGAAUUCCUGGUGUAGCGGUGAAAUGCGCAGAUAAUCAGGAGGAACACCGGUGGCGAAGGCGGGUCUCUGGGCCGAUACUGACGCUGAGGAGCGAAAGCGUGGGGAGCGAACAGG